rnacentral:rRNA from 1 species
GACGAACGCUGGCGGCGUGCCUAAUACAUGCAAGUCGAGCGGACCAAAGGGAGCUUGCUCCUGGAGGUUAGCGGCGAACGGGUGAGUAACACGUGGGCAACCUGCCUGUAAGACUGGGAUAACAUCGAGAAAUCGGUGCUAAUACCGGAUAAUAAAAAGAGCUGCAUGGUUCUUUUUUGAAAGAUGGUUUCGGCUAUCACUUACAGAUGGGCCCGCGGCGCAUUAGCUAGUUGGUGAGGUAACGGCUCACCAAGGCGACGAUGCGUAGCCGACCUGAGAGGGUGAUCGGCCACACUGGGACUGAGACACGGCCCAGACUCCUACGGGAGGCAGCAGUAGGGAAUCUUCCGCAAUGGACGAAAGUCUGACGGAGCAACGCCGCGUGAGUGAUGAAGGUUUUCGGAUCGUAAAAACGUCUAGUUGUUAGGGAAGAACGAAAGUGCCGUUCGAAAGGGCGGCACCUUGACGGUACCUAACGAGAAAGCCACGGCUAACUACGUGCCAGCAGCCGACGG